rnacentral:rRNA from 1 species
GGACCCGCACAAGCGGUGGAGCAUGUGGUUUAAUUCGAUGCAACGCGAAGAACCUUACCUGGUCUUGACAUCCUGCGAACUUUCUAGAAAUAGAUUGGUGCCUUCGGGAACGCAGUGACAGGUGCUGCAUGGCUGUCGUCAGCUCGUGUCGUGAGAUGUUGGGUUAAGUCCCGUAACGAGCGCAACCCCUAUCCUUAUUUGCCAGCACAUCAUGGUGGGAACUAUAAGGAGACUGCCGGUGAUAAACCGGAGGAAGGCGGGGACGACGUCAAGUCAUCAUGGCCCUUACGACCAGGGCUACACACGUGCUACAAUGGGAAGGACAAAGAGCCGCGAAGCCGCGAGGUGUAGCUAAUCUCAUAAACCUUUUCGUAGUCCGGAUUGGAGUCUGCAACUCGACUCCAUG